UACGUAGGGAGCAAGCGUUGUCCGGAAUCAUUGGGCGUAAAGCGCGCGUAGGCGGCCCUGUAAGUCAGCUGUGAAAGUCAAGGGCUCAACCCUUGAAUGCCGGUUGAUACUGUCGGGCUAGAGUCCGGAAGAGGCGAGUGGAAUUCCCGGUGUAGCGGUGAAAUGCGCAGAUAUCGGGAGGAACACCAAUGGCGAAGGCAGCUCGCUGGGACGGUACUGACGCUGAGACGCGAAAGCGUGGGGAGCAAACAGG
rnacentral:rRNA from 1 species